rnacentral:rRNA from 1 species
CCACAGGUUGCAGCAGUGGGGAAUAUUGCACAAUGGAGGAAACUCUGAUGCAGCAACGCCGCGUGGAGGAUGACACUUUUCGGAGCGUAAACUCCUUUUAUAUAGGAAGAAGAUGACGGUACUAUAUGAAUAAGCGCCGGCUAACUCCGUGCCAGCAGCCGCGGUAAUACGGAGGGCGCAAGCGUUACUCGGAAUCACUGGGCGUAAAGAGCGUGUAGGCGGAUUAAAAAGUCAGAAGUGAAAUCCUAUAGCUUAACUAUAGAACUGCUUCUGAAACUCUUAAUCUAGAAUAUGGGAGAGGUAGAUGGAAUUUCUGGUGUAGGGGUAAAAUCCGUAGAGAUCAGAAGGAAUACCGAUUGCGAAGGCGAUCUACUAGAACAUUAUUGACGCUGAGACGCGAAAGCGUGGGGAGCAAACAGGAUUAGAUACCCUCGUAGUC